CCCUUUUCUUCCGCACGGUUGGAGGAGGUCGGCUGGUUAUCGGGAGUUGGAGGGCUGAGGUCGGGAGGGUGGUGUGUACAGAGCUCUAGGACACCAGGCCAGUCGCGGGUUUUGGGCCGAGGCCUGGGUUACAAGCAGCAAGUGCGCGGUUGGGGCCACUGCGAGGCCGUUUUAGGAAUGAAUGUGAUUUGAACUCAUUCAUGUUGAGAGGUAAGUAAAAUAUUUAACUUAUAAUAAUCAAGGACUCAAAAGAUGAAAAAUAGAAAUUACACCAUCCCAGUAUUUCAGGUAUAACACAGAAUUAGUAAGAUACUGGCAAAAAUAUUACAAUGUAUAUAUUUGUAUAGAGAAGGAAAAUGAAGAGACUGCAUGUCUAUACCUACCAAACGAAACUACCUGUGUUCUUUGCAUCAUUAUUCAACUGGCAGUUACACAUAUUUCAUCCUAAAGUCACGUAAACCUGUGUGGAUAUGUUGAAUCAAUAGGGAUAUGAAUUACAUAAAAAGAAUUUUGUGUAACUGGCAGUUUGAGCAACAAUGAGCUUGACGUUUGUUGUCUGAUCUGUUAAGUUACAUGUAUAUAUUCCAUCUUUAAGUUUUAUAGAGAGACUGGGCAAAGAUUAGGCAAAGACUAGAGUUGUAGCUUAAAAUGUAGUUAAUGUAGCUUCCUUAUUACAGUGACAAUUAGGAAAAAAGCUCAAAUUAUUGUACUUGUUAAAGGAAUUUGAGAGGUUUGUGAAAGCAUUUCUCAGCAAUAUUGCAAAUUUGGGAAUACGAGUUGUACAGUUCAGUCAUAAUUGCACUGCAUGGUAUCUGCACUCAGCAGUUUACACCUGCUAGGGUGUUCAAAGGUCAGUGCUAUAGAAAUUCAGUAUCUGGCAUCGUUGGUUUUCUUGGCUUUGUGCUUGUUAAACCUGGUAUUUCUACUGAUACAGUAUUUGUGUAGGUUUCUCAGAGUGUUCAGUUUGAUAUACUCUAAAAUAGUAAGCAAUGCUUUUUUUUCCAGGGUGUCAAAUUGAGAACCAGGUAGAUCCCCACCACCUACAGUAAAAAGGGCAAACUUGAAGAUAAAUCUUUUGACUCCAGCUCUUUAGAGGAUCUAAAGUGACCUUGAUGGACAGUGGAAGAAAUCACAACAUGGAAUUCCUCGAAUAACAAUUUAUUGACUUUAAAUAAUUUUGUCUAAUGCUACAUAUACACAAUUAAAAAACCUUUACACU
rnacentral:lncRNA from 1 species